AUUACCUAAAACAAUGAAAGCCCUACCUCUCUUUCAUCCUUACGACUCCUCGGUCGCGCCAGUGUGAAUUAAAGUAAAGAAGGCUAA
rnacentral:sRNA from 1 species